ACAGUAUUUUUCCUAACAGAGCCCAGCACUUUCCAGGGGGCCACAUCGCUGGCUUCAGGGUGUGUGAACCCCGCAACCGUCACUCUUGGGGCGUUCUCUUGUGUGAAGCCGUUCCGUGCGAGAGGACAGAAGCACAAAUCAGGAGUCUGUAUACCAUAGACUACACUCUUGGAUUGUAAUUGCUGCAGACUACUGUUCUGAAGGCAUUUAACAGGAAGAGAAAGGAGAGAGACAAAGGGAAGAAGGGAAAGCUGGAAACUAUUCGGGGCAGGUUUGUUGAUUGGUUUCUGAAGCUAGCCAAGAUCUAUGCUGUCGAGGGUGCCCUGUGCCCAGCAGAAGCUCUGGGCCAGGCAGGACACAGUGGCAUCUCGUAGAGGACACCCUCCCCUUUCCUGGGGUAUUUGAGUUGUCCUGGCCCAGAGCAGAU